rnacentral:rRNA from 1 species
AAGAGAGGAGCUUGCUCUUCUUGGAUGAGUUGCGAACGGGUGAGUAACGCGUAGGUAACCUGCCUUGUAGCGGGGGAUAACUAUUGGAAACGAUAGCUAAUACCGCAUAACAAUGGAUGACACAUGUCAUUUAUUUGAAAGGGGCAAUUGCUCCACUACAAGAUGGACCUGCGUUGUAUUAGCUAGUAGGUGAGGUAAUGGCUCACCUAGGCGACGAUACAUAGCCGACCUGAGAGGGUGAUCGGCCACACUGGGACUGAGACACGGCCCAGACUCCUACGGGAGGCAGCAGUAGGGAAUCUUCGGCAAUGGGGGCAACCCUGACCGAGCAACGCCGCGUGAGUGAAGAAGGUUUUCGGAUCGUAAAGCUCUGUUGUAAGUCAAGAACGGGUGUGAGAGUGGAAAGUUCACACUGUGACGGUAGCUUACCAGAAAGGGACGGCUAACUACGUGCCAGCAGCCGCGGUAAUACGUAGGUCCCGAGCGUUGUCCGGAUUUAUUGGGCGUAAAGCGAGCGCAGGCGGUUUGAUAAGUCUGAAGUUAAAGGCUGUGGCUCAACCAUAGUUCGCUUUGGAAACUGUCAAACUUGAGUGCAGAAGGGGAGAGUGGAAUUCCAUGUGUAGCGGUGAAAUGCGUAGAUAUAUGGAGGAACACCGGUGGCGAAAGCGGCUCUCUGGUCUGUAACUGACGCUGAGGCUCGAAAGCGUGGGGAGCGAACAGGAUUAGAUACCCUGGUAGUCCACGCCGUAAACGAUGAGUGCUAGGUGUUGGAUCCUUUCCGGGAUUCAGUGCCGCAGCUAACGCAUUAAGCACUCCGCCUGGGGAGUACGACCGCAAGGUUGAAACUCAAAGGAAUUGACGGGGGCCCGCACAAGCGGUGGAGCAUGUGGUUUAAUUCGAAGCAACGCGAAGAACCUUACCAGGUCUUGACAUCCCGAUGCUAUUUCUAGAGAUAGAAAGUUACUUCGGUACAUCGGUGACAGGUGGUGCAUGGUUGUCGUCAGCUCGUGUCGUGAGAUGUUGGGUUAAGUCCCGCAACGAGCGCAACCCCUAUUGUUAGUUGCCAUCAUUCAGUUGGGCACUCUAGCGAGACUGCCGGUAAUAAACCGGAGGAAGGUGGGGAUGACGUCAAAUCAUCAUGCCCCUUAUGACCUGGGCUACACACGUGCUACAAUGGUUGGUACAACGAGUUGCGAGUCGGUGACGGCGAGCUAAUCUCUUAAAGCCAAUCUCAGUUCGGAUUGUAGGCUGCAACUCGCCUACAUGAAGUCGGAAUCGCUAGUAAUCGCGGAUCAGCACGCCGCGGUGAAUACGUUCCCGGGCCUUGUACACACCGCCCGUCACACCACGAGAGUUUGUAACACCCGAAGUCGGUGAGGUAACCUGUGGAGCCAGCCGCCUAAGGUGGGACAGAUGACUGGGGUAAGUCG